rnacentral:rRNA from 1 species
AGAGUUUGAUCCUGGCUCAGAUUGAACGCUGGCGGCAUGCUUUACACAUGCAAGUCGAACGGUAACAGGGGAGCUUGCUCCCGCUGACGAGUGGCGAACGGGUGAGUAAUGCAUCGGAACGUACCGAGUAAUGGGGGAUAACUAUCCGAAAGGAUGGCUAAUACCGCAUACGAUCUUAGGAUGAAAGUGGGGGACCUUCGGGCCUCACGUUAUUCGAGCGGCCGAUGCCUGAUUAGCUAGUUGGUAGGGUAAAAGCCUACCAAGGCUACGAUCAGUAGCGGGUCUGAGAGGAUGAUCCGCCACACUGGGACUGAGACACGGCCCAGACUCCUACGGGAGGCAGCAGUGGGGAAUUUUGGACAAUGGGGGCAACCCUGAUCCAGCCAUGCCGCGUGUCUGAAGAAGGCCUUCGGGUUGUAAAGGACUUUUGUUAGGGAGGAAAAUUUAUCCAUUAAUACUGGGUAAAGCUGACAGUACCUAAAGAAUAAGCACCGGCUAACUACGUGCCAGCAGCCGCGGUAAUACGUAGGGUGCAAGCGUUAAUCGGAAUUACUGGGCGUAAAGCGAGCGCAGGCGGUUUGUUAAGUCAGAUGUG